ensembl:misc_RNA 7SK 7SK RNA
UGGUUGAGGGUGAUCUGGUGGCAGCACCUGUCACCCCACAGGUCUUCAGGGUUGAUUCAGUUCAUCUGCUUGCCUAGGUAGUGUCCCUUCCCUCCCUCCCUCAGUGAUCUGUGUGUGUCCCUCCCAAAACUGCAUUCUCCGUCAAAGAGGCCAACUUUCCCUGGUAAGAGAAGGACAGUUCUUCGGUUAAGGGUAGACGAGUAACUGUGCUCCCUGGCGAGAAACUCCAGACAAGUUCUUGAAGUCCUUUUGUAGGAGAACGUAGGUAGUCAGGCUUCCAAGGCUCCAGACACAUCCAAAUGACGUGCCGCAUGUGGCAGUCUACCUUUCCUU